rnacentral:lncRNA from 1 species
AAUUCUGAAGCUCUGUUGGGCUCAAACCAAGAAACACAGGUGGUCUUACCGAGCCACAGGGGUAAGGAUCUCCUGACUUGCUCAAUUAUUUCUGGACUUUUCUACAAAGACCCUCUGAAUGUUUGUUUCCACAGAGAUACAACUUUUUGGAAACUUUUAUUAAUUUUUUGGGGGUGCCCCAUUGUUCAGAGUCCUCUGGUUGCAUUUACAAGUGUAAUAGAAAAUGACAGCCCUGUUAUCCUUUCUUAAAAUGUCAAAGACCACAUAAAACAAACCUCAUUCACAGUAUGCGGUGCUUGGUUUUUUGUCCUUGCGAUAGUUUGCUGAGAAUGAUGGUUUCCAGCUUCAUCCAUUUCCCCACAAAGGACAUGAACUCAUCGUUUUUUAUGGCUGCAUAGUAUUCCACGGUGUAUAUGUGCCACAUUUUCUUAAUCCAGUCUAUCAUUGUUGGACAUUUGGGUUGGUUCCAAGUCUUUGCUAUUGUGAAUAGUGCCACAAUAAACAUAUGUGUGCAUGUGUCCUUAUAGCAGCAUGAUUUAUAAUCCUUUGGGUAUAUACCCACUAAUGGGAUGGCUGGGUCAAAUGGUAUUUCCAGUUCUAGAUCCCUGAGGAAUUGCCACACUGACUUCCACAAUGGUUGAACUAGUUUACAGUCCCACCAACAAUGUAAAAGUGUUCCUAUUUCACCACAUCCUCUCCAGCACCUGUUGUUUCCUGACUUUUUAAUGAUUGCCAUUCUAACUGGUGUGAGAUGGUAUCUCAUUGUGGUUUUGAUUUGCAUUUCUCUGAUGGCCAGUGAUGAUGAGCAUUUUUUCAUGUGUUUUUUGGCUGCAUAAAUGUCUUCUUUUGAGAAGUAUCUGUUCAUAUCAUUUGCCCACUUUUUGAUGGGGUUGUUUGUUUUUUCUUGUAAAUUUGUUUGAGUUCAUUGUAGAUUCUGGAUAUUAGCCCUUUGUCAGAUGAGUAGAUUGCAAAAAUUUUCUCCCAUUCUGUAGGUUGCCUGUUCACUCUGAUGGUAGUUUCUUUUGCUGUGCAGAAGUUCUUUAGUUUAAUUAGAUCCCAUUUGUCAAUUUUGGCUUUUGUUGCCAUUGCUUUUGGUGUUUUAGACAUGAAGUCCUUGCCCAUGCCUAUGUCCUGAAUGGUAUUGCCUAGGUUUUCUUCUAGGGUUUUUAUGGUUUUAGGUCUAACAUUUAAAUCUUUAAUCCAUCUUGAAUUAAUUUUAGUAUAAGGUGUGAGGAAGGGAUCCAGUUUCAGCUUUCUACAUACGGCUAGCCAGUUUUCCCAGCACCAUUUAUUAAAAGGGAAUCCUUUCCCCAUUUCUUGUUUUUGUCAGGUUCGUCAAAGAUCAGAUAGUUGUAGAUAUGUGGCAUUAUUUCUGAGGGCUCUGUUCUGUUCCGUUGGUCUCUAUCUCUGUUUUGGUAGCAGUACCAUGCUGUUUUGGUUACUGUAGCCUUGUAGUAUAGUUUGAAGUCAGGUAGCAUGAUGCCUCCAGCUUUGUUCUUUUGGCUUAGGAUUGACUUGGAAAUGCGGGCUCUUUUUUGGUUCCAUAUGAACUUUAAAGUAGUUUUUUCCAAUUCUGUGAAGAAAGUCAUUGGUAGCUUGAUGAGGAUGGCAUUGAAUCUAUAAAUUGCCUUGGGCAGUAUGGCCAUUUUCACGAUAUUGAUUCUUCCUACCCAUGAGCAUGGAAUGUUCUUCCAUUUGUUUGUAUCCUGUUUUAUUUCAUUGAGCAGUGGUUUGUAGUUCUCCUUGAAGAGGUUCUUCACAUCCCUUGUAAGUUGGAUUCCUAGGUAUUUUAUUCUCUUUGAAGCAAUUGUGAAUGGGAGUUCACUCAUGAUUUGGUUCUCUGUUUGUCUGUUAUUGGUGUAUAAGAAUGCUUGUGAUUUUUGUACAUUGAUUUUGUAUCCUGAGACUUUGCUGAAGUUGCUUAUCAGCUUAAGAUUUUGGGCUGAGACAAUGGGGUUUUCCAGAUAUACAAUCAUGUCGUCUGCAAACAGGGACAAUUUGACUUCCUCUUUUCCUAAUUCAAUACCCUUUAUUUCCUUCUCCUGCCUAAUUGCCCUGGCCAGAACUUCCAACACUAUGUUGAAUAGGAGUGGUGAGAGAGGGCAUCCCUGUCUUGUGCCACUUUUCAAAGGGAAUGCUUCCAGUUUUUGCCCAUUCAGUAUGAUAUGCUAUUUUAAAAUCCAUAACAACAUUACUGUUAAUUCCAGUCAUCAUCCUACUAUGCAAUAGAACAGCAAAACUUAUAUCUGACCUGAGUUUUGCACCCAAUCUUUCUCUAUCCGGCUUUUCCACUUCCCUCCCCAUCCUUUGGUAACCAUUAUUUUACUCUUACUUCUAUAAGAACACCUUUUUAGAUUCCACAUAUGAGUGAGAUCAUGUGGUAUUUGUCUUUCUCUGCCUGGCUUAUUUCACUUGGCAUAAUAUGGCUCCAGGUUCAUCUAUGUUGCCGUUUAUGUGAGGGCAGUUCUAGGGUACAUAAAAGUCAGUUUCAGGGUGGUAAUUAUUGACCAUGGUUUUACACAGCACCUCAUGUGGUAAGAAGAUAAAUGCAUAAUCACCCAGUAAUAAGAAAAACUCUGACUGAAGGACCAAAGGACGUUGUCAUUUUACUCCACCCUCUGUGAGUC